UCGCGAGCGCGGUGGAUUUUUUCCAUCGUCCGCCCCAGCGCCUCGAUCACCGGCGCAACUUCGGUGACCGUGCCGAUGGUGGUGACGCGGGCGGCGAUGCGCGCGCGCUCCAGAUGAUGCGCGACCUGAUCGCGGCUCCAGAACCUUCGCAGCCAGCGGAUCGUCCCGGUUGGCGCCCGCUUCAUUGACGAUCACCGACAACGGCGUCUUGAUGGCAUGGGCAAG
rnacentral:misc_RNA from 1 species